GUUAAGGGGUUUAUUGUCUGGUUCAAGGCCUCCUGCUGUCCUACAUCACAUUUUUUUUCUUUGUUCUGAAUUAUUGAUGGAUGUGUGUGUGCAUGAUGCAUGGCUGGUGGUGACCUCGGACCAGGCUUCAUUCCCUUUAAC
rfam:Oryza sativa (indica cultivar-group) chromosome 8, whole genome shotgun sequence.